rnacentral:rRNA from 1 species
GGGUUUGAUUAUGGCUCAGAUUGAACGCUGGCGGAUGCUUUACACAUGCAAGUCGAACGGCAGCACGGACUUCGGUCUGGUGGCGAAAUUGGCUUGAACGGAGUGAGUAAUGUAUCGGAACGUGCCUAGUAGCGGGGGAUAACUACGCGAAAGCGUAACUAAUACCACAUACGCCUAUUGUGAGAAAGCACUAUUCGGGCCUCAUACUAUUAAACUAGCCGAUAUCGGAUUAGCUAGUUGGUGGGGUAACAGCUCACCAAGGCGACGAUCUGUAGCUGGUUUGAAGGACGACCAGCCACACUGGGACUGAGACACGGCCCAGACUCCUACAGGGGAGGCAGCGGUGGGGAAUUUUGGACAAUGGGGAAACCCUGAUCCAGCCAUCCGCGUGUGCGAUGAAGGCCUUCAGUUCGCCAAACACUUUUGGCAGGAAAGAAACGGCCUGGGAUAAUACCCGUGCAACUGACAACCUGCAAGAAUAAGCGCAAGCACAACUACGUACUGUAGCCGCGGUAAUACACGGCGGGUGCAGCAUUAAUCCAAAUUCUGGGCGUAAAGCGUGCGCACGAGCGGUUCGAAAAGAUGUGAAAUCAGAGCUUAACUUUACGGAACUGCAUUUUAACUACGAGCUAGAGUGUGUCAGAGGGAGGUGGAAUUCCGCGUGUAGCGAUGAAAUGCGUAGGUAUGCGGAGAGACACCGAUGGCGAAGGCAGCCUCCUGGGAUAACACUGACGCUCAUGCGAAAGCGUGGGAGCAAACCAGGAUUAGAUACCCACGGUCACGCCUAAACGAUGUCAACUAGCUGUUUGGGGCCUUCGGGCCUUGGUGGCGCAGCAAAAAUGAAGUUGACCGCCUGGGGGAGUACAGUGCAAGAUUAAAACUCAAAGGAAUUGACGAGGACCCGCACAAGCGUUGGAUGAUGUGGAUUAAUUCGAUGCAACGCGAAAAACCUUACCUACCCUUGACAUGUCUGGAAUCCGAAGAGAUUUGGGAGUGCUCGCAAGAGAACCGGAACACAGGUGCUGCAUGGCAAUAGUAGAAACCGUGUCGUGAGAUGUUGAGUUGAUCGCAACCUUGGCUUCAACCCUUGUCAUUAGUUGCUACGAAGGGCACUCUAGUGAGACUGCCGGUGACAAACCGGAGGAAGGUGGGGACGUCAAGUCCUCAUGACAUAUGGUGAGGCUUCACGCGUCAUACAAUGGCAGUGCGGGACAGAGGGUCGCCAACCUGAGGGGAGCCAAUCCCAGAAACCCGAUCGUAGUCCGGAUCGCAGUCCACCAGCUCGACUGCGUGAAGUCGGAAUCGCUGAAAAUAAUCGCGGAUCAGCAUGUCGCGGUGGUCCGUUCCCGGGUCUUGUACACACACGCCCCGUCACGCCGGCAUGGGAGUGGGUUUUGCAAGUAGUUAAUAUAAUAACCGUAAGAGGAGGGCAGGUGCACAGUAGGAUUCAUGACCUGGGGUGAAGUCGUAACAAAGGUAG